rnacentral:rRNA from 1 species
AGUGAACGCUGGCGGUAGGCCUAACACAUGCAAGUCGAACGGCAGCACAGAGGAGCUUGCUCCUUGGGUGGCGAGUGGCGGACGGGUGAGGAAUACAUCGGAAUCUACUCUGGCGUGGGGGAUAACGUAGGGAAACUUACGCCAAUACCGCAUACGACCUACGGGUGAAAGCAGGGGACCUUCGGGCCUUGCGCGAUUGAAUGAGCCGAUGUCGGAUUAGCUAGUUGGCGGGGUAAAGGCCCACCAAGGCGACGAUCCGUAGCUGGUCUGAGAGGAUGAUCAGCCACACUGGAACUGAGACACGGUCCAGACUCCUACGGGAGGCAGCAGUGGGGAAUAUUGGACAAUGGGCGCAAGCCUGAUCCAGCCAUACCGCGUGGGUGAAGAAGGCCUUCGGGUUGUAAAGCCCUUUUGUUGGGAAAGAAAUCCAGCUGGCUAAUACCCGGUUGGGAUGACGGUACCCAAAGAAUAAGCACCGGCUAACUUCGUGCCAGCCGCCGCGGUAA